CCUACGGGUGGCAGCAGUGAGGAAUAUUGGUCAAUGGACGAGAGUCUGAACCAGCCAAGUAGCGUGAAGGAUGACUGCCCUAUGGGUUGUAAACUUCUUUUAUAUGGGAAUAAAAUGUUCCACGUGUGGGAUUUUGUAUGUACCAUAUGAAUAAGGAUCGGCUAACUCCGUGCCAGCAGCCGCGGUAAUACGGAGGAUCUGAGCGUUAUCCGGAUUUAUUGGGUUUAAAGGGAGCGUAGGUGGAUUGUUAAGUCAGUUGUGAAAGUUUGCGGCUCAACCGUAAAAUUGCAGUUGAAACUGGCAGUCUUGAGUACAGUAGAGGUGGGCGGAAUUCGUGGUGUAGCGGUGAAAUGCUUAGAUAUCACGAAGAACUCCGAUUGCGAAGGCAGUUCACUGGACUGCAACUGACACUGAGGCUCGAAAGUGUGGGUAUCAAACAGGAUUAGAUACCCGAGUAGUC
rnacentral:rRNA from 1 species